UGCAGAUAUUUUCAAUUGGGGUGCUGAACCUUUGGGGACAGUUUGGUGCUCCAUGACCAGUUUUUAUAUUGUUUUUUUUGGUGGCAAGCACGAUGGAAAGGAGCCAGAACCCCGGGUUGUCAAAACCAUUCAGCGCAAAACUGGCAGGGUAUGAGCGGCAAGUGCUUGUAACCAGAUUACCUGAAAGGUGCUGAUAUGCUGCGCCACUGAACUACGUGGCACAGCACGUCAGCACGCGUGUAUGUUGUGAGAUAGAGAGAGGAGCGAACGGAGAGCCCUGCUUAUCACAGGGGAGCAGAGAGAUACAUUUUUCUUGAAAGUAAUGAAACGAUUGCGAGCUUUAGAGUCUGAAAUUGCACAUAUUAUAUUUUAUAGGCUGUAUUGAUAAAAAUAAAAAAUAAACAUAAAUAUUAAUCUACGACUUCAAUUUCAGGGUUGGGAUCUUGUUGGCAGGGCGGGGGUAUCCGUUGGCAGGGUGGGGCGCCCUGGUCAAUACACUACAGGGGAAACACUGAUAUAGUAUCUACUUUAAGAGACACUGGUUUAUCUGUACUUUUUGAUCAAACUUUACAAUAUAUAUAAUGAUGCUUUAAUGCAUUGGAUGAUCUCUAAAUCUGAACACCAAACUUGACUGUGCAGCACAGCAGGUGGCCACUUAGUAUUAUACACAGCAGUAAUAUCACUUUGCACAGCUUCAACGAGAGUCACUUUUUGUUCACUAUGUCCAUCUGCACUGUAUGUGUGUGCGUGUGUGUGCAGAUGCUACAAUACAGGGCUGGUUGCCAUAAUGUGAUUGUACAAAGGCAGCAGCAGGAUAGAUUCUGGAGAACAAUGGACCGGAGUCUGGUGGACGUGGACGCACGCACUAAUAUUUCAUUUUAAUUUAAACGAUCACGAACAGUACAGACACUUCUGUCAUGACGCGUGGUGAGAUGUUUGGCGCACGUGUUGAACACUUGGUGCAUUUUAACUGCAAAACUUCUCAACGUAUCAAAUCUAAACAUCAGAGUGUACAGGAGCAAAUGCAUAAGCUACAGAAAAAUAUUAAAUCAGUUUCUCUUUGUCCGUAAAUAAAUAAAUUAACAGGAUUGAUACAACUAAUGGUGAAAGGCAUCCUAGUCUUGCAUUAUUGCAUUAUUGUUCAUGAUUAGAUAAAAAAGGGCCUCCUCAUUUUUUAUUUAUCUACAGAGCAGAAGGCAUUUUAAACUGAUUAUUACAGCUAUUAAGUUCACAGAAGUGUGAGAAAUUGACCCUCUAAUAGGUUAGCAAUAAAGUUUUGAUAAAUUAAAUAUCUGAAUUAACACAUAAUAAAAACGUAUAUAGAACAUUUUGUUAGUUGUUGGUUGCUCUCCUUUGAGAAAAACCGAGGCAGAUGUAAAUCCAUGUUAGUCUCUCCGUUUGUCACUCUCUUUCUUUGCCAACAGACCUUUUGCUGAAUGGAAAGGCUUUUUCUCUUUAGUGGGAUCCUCUUCUGCACCCCUUGGUCAUUCCUUCGGGUUCUCUGACAUGUUGCUUUUAGUUGCACUCUCCCUUCUCGUUGUCUAGUAAAACCCAGUAGAACGCAUCAUUUCCUGCGAGCCAGUGCAGGAAUGUCGCCAAAGACACCAAAUACAAAAAAAAAAAAAUACUGCAAAAUACUAUGAGUUAUAUGAGUAGUCGAAUGGGUUAAUUAGCGUUGAACCAUCUCCUUUUGUAGUGCCUUGGCUAAAACAGAUAUUUACGGACAUGUAGUAGUUAACCACUUCUUUCUUGAAUAGACUGAUGCCCUCUAUCAAAUAAUACUCCUACUUAGAGGAUUCUGACUCAUCACAUUCACAGAGCUGUUUAGCAGUGAAUCUAGUAAGUCAAUAGAACAUCAUGUUUUUUUUCAGUCUACUUGUUUAUUUGACAGAAGCAAAUGUAUGUGAUAUUUCUUUACAGUAAUAAUAAUAAUGCAUCAGAUUUCAAAUAGCGAUUUAUCAGAGAGCCUCAAAGCGCUUUACAUUGGAUACAUCAUUCAUUCGCUCACACAGUCAGACUGACAGAAACGUGGCUGCCAUUUUGCACCUACAGCCUCUCCGACCACCACCACACAACACUCACAAUCAUACACCAGUGGAGUUCACACACUGGGAGCAAGGUGGGUUAAGUGUCUUGCCUAAGGGCACAAUGGACAGACUCAGGAUAGGGGGGAAUCGAACCGCCAACCUUCCAGUUAUUGGACGACCGCUCUACCUCCUGAGCUACUGCCGCCCCAUAGUGCAUCAACGUAGAUGCCAUGCAUGCAGGUUUCAGUCCAUGGCUCGUUUGCAACCUCAAUAAAUUAACAGAACUACAGAGUACUAGUAAUAACAGUAAUGAUGUAUCAGAUUUUAAAGCACUUUUCAUCAUUGACCUCAAAGCACUUUACAGUGGAUACAUCAUUCAUUCGCUCACACAGUCACACCUUGGUGGCGGUUUGCUAGUUUGCGCCUGUGGCCUGUCCCACCACCACCACACGACACUCCCAAUCAUACACCAGUGGAAGACACACACUAGGAGCAAGGUGGGUUAAGUGUCUUGCCCAAGGACACAACAAACAGACUUGGAACAGGGGGGAAUCACACCACCAACCUUCCAGUUAUUGGACGACUGCUCUACCUCCUGAGCUACUGCUAAGGAAGGCCUCAUGUCGUGAGGGUUCAUGUGUGAACAGUAGAGUCAGGUAGAUUUUCAGGUGUGAGCUCUGGAAAUUCUCCAGAAAAUUUCUAGGGUUUACGUCUGACAUCAGCUGGGAUGAGACUUCUUAGCUUUGUACUUUUGAUUAUAUGAGUGUGUUAGUGCUUAUACAGGUAAUGUAACACAACCAAAUGCUCUAUUAUAGAUCCAGUUUCAGACAGUUUCAUUAUAGCGUUGACGGACUUUACUACCCUUGAUUUACAGUAUAUGACAGACAAAUACAGGCUCACCCUCCCACUCUUCAGACUGAACUAGUUGAGAUGACAGGAUUUCCAGGGACAAUGGAGGGAAAAUGAUGAAAAAAUGUGGCCAUAUGGAAGCUCUAUAAACACACUCAUGAUUGAAUCUUCAAAAGAGAGAGCCUGAUGGUGAUCUCCUGAACACAUGGCUGAUGAUGGAUCAUACACUGAUGAUGUUUUCUGGCUGGUUUCACACUCUGUUCAGCUAAUUGAGCUGCAUCCUUCUGUCUGUGUAUGUGUGUGUGUGUGUGUGUGUGUGACUGAGCGGCGUGAGGCUGCAGAGUCACUCACUUGUGAAAAUGUGCACACGUACAAUGUGCAGCCUGUCUGCCACCUGCUGCAGGUCUCAUAUCAAGGCAUGCGGAGCUGUUAUGCACACGCACAAGUACACACACACACCAUGACAAACAUGAGCAAAGACUCUGGUUGCACCCUCCUCAUCGCUACACACCCCCACACUCGCCCCAUCACUGCAGACAGCCCAAAAUCUGCUUGACCGGUACCCCAAUUAACCCUUUGACAUUGUUUCUGUAUAAUAAGAGUAUCUAUGUGUGUGUGAGAGAGAGUGUGUGUGUGAGUGUGUGUCCUCAAUCUGUCAAUCAGGUGCAUUUAGAGGCACAUGCCCAGUGAUGUGUGUGUGUUUUGGGGUACAGGUUUGUGGAAGAUAUUUAGGGACAAUGGAAAUGUUGGAUUAGACAAAUUCUGGACUUCCUUCUUUUGCUGCCCCCUUCACAAGAUGUGUUUACUUUUUGUCCAAGACAGUUAACAUGAAGAUAAAAAGGACGCAUGCACACACCUGGUUGAUGCACACACUGUGUUAAAAAUCGAAAUAAGACUGCCGAGACCAACAAGGAUUUUUAAUGAUUGUGCACAAAUCUGAACUUCACUUUUGCUGCCGACCAGGUAACAUUCAGUCAAAUUUCUGCUCAGCUGGUCAGUUGUUGUCUGCUCCUGUGCUUGGGCGAGGUAACAUCAUAUGUAUGUAUUGGCGUGGGUGUUGAAUCUACACCUGCCAGACUCAAUUUAAGGGACAGCUAACCAAUGAUGUCGAGUCAAUCUCCUUCAGUUAGCCACCGCUCAAACUGCAGGUCUUCAUUUGUAAAAAGCAGCAGCAUCAGUGCAGCUGUGAGAGUGUGUGUGUGUAUGUUAUAAUGAGUUGAGAAGCAGGUCAGCUCUGCAGGAAGACGGAGGCCUCCUGGUGAGCAGUGGUCACCACUUGGUGAUGGCCACGCUUCAGGACACAAACGCACACACACAAGGAAGUUGAUGAAGUGUAUGCAAUGAGGUCAGGGAGGUGUGUGGGAAGAGGAGGAUGGCGUGAGAACACCAGGCGACAGGGAGGGAAAGCCCUCUUACUUUUUUCAUGGAUCCAUAUUGUUGUGCAGCAGUGACCGCAGGCUGGACACAUGCCGGCCAUUUGGACAACAGGUGGUCAGGCAUGGUCCGCUGUGGUCAACAGACACUGCAAAGCCACUGUGAAGAACAAAGACAUGGAAAUUAAGUUUGGUGUUAGAGGAAACUUCAGCAAAGUUUGGAUUUAUCUGGAUUUUGGCGCUUCCUGUACAAAUACAAUCCUGUUAAUCCCCAUCAAUAUGAGGUAGAACCAUCAAGGGGUUUGACUGUACAUCACACAUGAUGGCAGCAUGUCCUCGAUGUGCAUUAUUCAAUCAGACAUUUACAAGCUGCAAAACCAUACAGUGGUUCAGGGGGUCCUGACUCCCUGUGUUUGCUGGACCUGGUCACAUAAUUAAUCAAAUAUGUAAAUAAUAUGUUAGAAUUGUUAUAAGUGGUAUAAGUAUAAGAGGUAUAAGUACUUACAGGGUAACGCUUCCUUUGUUGCAGGACAGCAACAUUAGUAUUAUCAUCAGCAUUAUUAUUGAGCUUCAACUUUCAGAUCUUGAAAUGUUUUCAGGCCGGUUGAGCUACAUAAUCCCAACCCCAUGUCUUCUGGGUCCAGCAGGGGUUUUUCUACCUGUUGUUGGAUCCAGAAAAAAAGAAAAAAAGGUCCACAGAAGGUGCCCAAGAAUAUUGGCUUGAUGCUGACACCAUCUCAACAAAUUGUUGAGGAUGCUAGAAAGAGGGGGUUUCACCAGACCUCCCUCUUGAUGCUUGAACCCAAGUUCAGAAGCUCAGAAAAGAAAAACUUAACUUGCAUCUGCGAUCUUAUUCUUUUGUUCACCGCCAAAAUUUCUCACAUUAAUCCUGACACUGUACCAACCUGCUCGUCAAACUCAGAAUCCACUUUACAAUGAGCAAGACCAUAGGUCUCUUGAACUCUUCAGCAAGAAACGGAGACUCCCUCUGUAUUCUGGCAGAGAACCAUGACCUUGGACUUGGAAGUGUUGAUUACAACAAACGCAGUAUUAGCAAAUGAUCACAGUCUGGUUCUACUCAAGGUUUCUGCCUGUUAAAGGGGACUUUUGUCUUGUCACUGUUACUCUCUAAAUGUUGCUCAUAGAAGAUUUAGAUGGAAUCAGAGUGGGUUGGAUCUUGCAAAAUGGAACUCAAUCUUAUCUGGUCUCAAUGUUGGGUCUUUACAAUGGAAGAGUACGGUUAGACCAGCUCAAUUUGUGGAGCGUCUUAAGAUAACAUUUGUUGUGAAUUGGUGCUAAAUAAGUAAAGAUUGAUUGAUUGAUUGAUUGAUUGAUUGAUUGAUUGACUGACUGACUGACUGAUUGAUUGAUUGAUUGAUUGAUUGAUUGAUUGAUUGAUUGAUUGAUUGAUUGAUUGAUUGAUUGAUUGAUUGAUUGAUUGAUUGAUUGAUUGAUUCUCAUCCUGGCUGCUUUGCAUUGGGCUGCCAAGUGCCUCAAGGUAACAGUCUGAUGUGUCAAACAGCGUGUUUUCAGUCACUGUUAAUCUUUAAAACAAAUUAUCAUUUGUUCUAUUUCAUUAUCAUUAACUAAGUCACUGGCAAAUUUGUAUACAAAGGUACAACUUAAAUUACAACUUAAAAAGUUUCAACCAAUCAGCAACCUUUGAUGUGGAAGUGCUGUUCUUUAGAUGCCCAAUUAGACGCCAAAAAAGCCUGUUUUUGGGGCCAUAAAAAACAUGUUGAAAGCCUUGUUCAAACAGCAGUUUUGGUCUGAAUGGUUCAGGACUCCCACAGCAGGAAAGGGAAUUUUUUUUUGGAACACGUUCUUGUAGGUAUGAAGGUAUUAAGGGCAAGAGACUGGCAAAUCAGGCACGAAUCAGAUUGAUCAAAAGUUAUAUUGAGUCAGCGCUGUCAGUAUAGUGACCGCUACUGAUAGGCUUCAAAACUCUGCUUCAGGACCAAAGGAGUGACGUCAUGCUACAUACACUUAUUAUACAGUCUAAGGUUUCAAAGUAUAAUUUAGUGUGGACUUCACCCCUUAACUUAAUGCAUUACUGAACAGGCCCCAUGUUUGUUGUUAUUUGUUAUCCUCUGUGAGAGCUAAAGGCCGCCUUUGUGCCUCAUUUUAAGACACACAAACCUGUGGGCGCCAACAUGGACACAAGCUGACUUGCUAUUGACAAAAUGAGGGUGCUGGGCAUAAGUAUGAGGACUGUGUUAGGUAGAGAAAACAAGGACACUUAUGCUGUAUACUAAGAUAAUUUACACAGGGUGUAGAAUAAGGCUGUAGGAGGGGUAAAAUAAUAAACAGCAUCACUGUUGAUGAGCUGAUAAAAUUAUCUCCACUCAUGAAAAGUGGAAGGGAAAAUACAGAACGGAAAAAAAUAUCCAUUAUUGUCAAGGUUGUGUUUUGAUGUUAAGAAGAUCGUGGUGAUGCCAAACAGCCAAUAAAAACUCUCAGCCGUGUCUUAGUCAUGCUAAAAAAUUGUAGGUUCUAAAUUAUGACCUAAAUAAGAAAGGCUAAGUUUGACCUUAGGCAAAGCUGUUUAACGCAUGCUACUGUUUCCGCUGUUAAAAAGCAAUUUACAACUCUUUCGACGUCCAUACCAGAGGCUCUGUCUCAGAGUCUCUGUGCUGCCAAAGACGUCUUGACUGCAGUUUAAUGUCUUAAAUGUACGUUUUGGAGAUGUGUAUGAAUUUGUUUUGUUUGUGGUUGUUUUUAAGUUUUGAGAACUUUCUUCGAGGAGGCUAAUGCAAACUGUUUUGGAAAAGAAUCAACUUCACAUUCGGUCCUCUGGAGAAAAUCCACACAGCUAGUUGAGUUUCCAGGACAUGGUCAGAAACGAACAGGUGCAAAAUCAAGCUGCUGAAUCAGAUCAUAUAUUAUAUAAUUACACGUGUGGACUGGCCCGUGUGUGCGUGUGUGUGUGUAUUUGUGUGUGUGAGAGACGUGCAGCAGUUUGCAGGCUGAUGGGCCACGGCAUUGUUGAGAGGGCAACUGUCCAUUCUGCACUAUUGUCUGGAAGAGCGCUACUGUCUGUGAGACAAAAGAAGCACCUGCCUGAUCAUCACAACACACACACACACACGCACUGUGGGCUGCCAUGUGCCGGACACAAGGCCACUGUGUGCCCAUAACCUCCCAUGACACAGAGAAGGGGAGUGUGACAUGGGGCUGCACGUAACACAUGCUCAGUGUAUGUGUGUGUGUGUGUGUGUGUGUGUGUGUGUGUGUGUGUGUGUGUGUGUGUGUGUGUGUGUGUGUUUGUGAGGGUUGGGGUUAUAGAUCUUGGCGCGAAGGAUGGGGGGAGUGUGUGUGUUGGGGGUCACUUUGGCGGGAAUAUCAGGCUUGUUGGAUUUACAUCUGUUCAGCCGUGUGUCAGGCAGAGCGCCAUGCACAAACACACACACACACACACACACACACACACACUCCCACCCACACCCACACACACAUACAUACACACUGAUCAUUUGUGAGCAAAAGAGAGGCAUCAUGUUGGCAUGUGCCUGAUUAACAGCAGGUCAGUUUGUCUUAGUGUGCAUGUGUGUGUGUGUGUGUGUGUGUGUGUGUGUGUGUGUGUGUGUGUGUGUGUGUGUGUGUGUGUGUGUGUGUGUGUGUGUGUGUAUGUGUGUGUGUGUGUUCAGAGCAGCGGAAGCGACACUGAAACACUUGUUGUACAUCUGUCCGAGCAGCAGUACAGUGACAGAGCAGCUCUGUUGAAGAAUACAGACACGGACAGACUCAGUCUCUGAUUCUGCGCUCAAGUGCUGUCAGAAAAGUCGUCUUCUGUUUCUGACUCUGAAAGGUUUAUUUAGAUGUUAAAGAGGAUCCCAGAAUAUAUUUUAACACACCAAAGCCCACAACAUUAAUAAUAAUAAUAAAAUGGUCUUUCUUACCUGACUUUAUUGAAGUUACUUAAUGUAUUUGCCAGACAUGCUGACAGUGCAUAAUUGCUUAAAGGGAUAAAGCCCUGACGAGUUGAUCACCGAGUGCAGUGGAAUAAUUCCAUGAAGUAAUAAUCAUCAUAUUAAUCAUUUUGCACUACAGCAGUAGUUCUUCUGCCAUAGCGUCUCAGUCUAUUUGCAUUUUCAUAAAAUAAAUGUUCUUCCUUGAGCUGCGAAACUCUGCUGCACUCAGUGAUGGACUCAUUAGUGCUCCCCCCACGAACAAACGGCUGCUGGAAGAGAGUGGGUUAGUUGUUUUUGGUCUCUUUGCUAAAGAAAUCAUGCAAAGCCAAAAGAUGUUUAAUGGCUAGUACUAUUGCUGGGACCCUCUAUGUACUGUUGAUGAAGUUAGGUGCUGUUCUGAGUGUUAUUUGUGGCUAUAGAGUGGCGUUUUGUGUGUGGAGUGAUAGACCACUGUGUAUUGCUAUCGUGUGGUUGUUACUAAAGUUGGUAUCACUAGAGAAGCAAGCAGUCGGCUACAUUCAUCUCUGGAGGGGGUGUCUAACUCGGUGUUAUGGUGUGUUUGACCCUAACUUAUUUUUAAGCCAGAAUAUCCCUUUAAUGCAUCUUUCAGAAGUGUUUGGCUCAUUUGUUAAAUGUAUUUUCACUUUAAUCUCUAUAGGCGAGCUGAGAUAGCUAGUCCUUUUGAACCUCAUGAUCUUGAUCACUAAAAAGAGCCGGAAUUCCCAUCAAUUGGAUCUCCUGUGAGGUUGUUAACCUGAGAAAGAUGAAGGAUCCAAAUCCUGCUCUCACAUGGUACGAUAGAUCACAGACAACUUGAGGAAGAGCGUACAGCCUGUGGAGAUUUGGAGUAAUCUGUAGAUUUUUAUGGAUAUAACUUGUUUGAUUAAAGUCUUAGACUGGACUUGGAUCGCGGGGGACCCUCUUUGUCGCUGCAAGAGAAGCAGACUGUUGCACGUUCAACAGGGUUUAACAUUAACUGUGUUAGUUUGCUGAUCGUUUCUUCCAUGUGAAAUCUUUUGGGUUUUUGCAGCAUAUUUGUCCUUGUUGCCCAAAACUGCAGGUAACUCUCUGAUGUGAGAUUUGCUGGUGCAAGAUUGUGGUUAAGGUGGGAUAUGUUAAUAAUCACUGUGAAACUGUUUCUCUCUCCCCUGAUGUCACACUCUUUUGCCCACUGACGUGUUGGCUAGUCAGUGACUCUGAAGCUGUAGUAAAAGCAUCUCAUCACAGUAUGGUAAAAUAGGAGAGUGUCUCCACCAGGAGUUGACCUUUAGAUCUCCUCCCGAGCCAAAUCUGAACCCUUCCUGUGGUGAGUCAGACGUGUUUCUGCUUUAGCAGCUCUUUAUAAAACCAUUUAUAUCAAGCGAACAGAGGGAAACGCAGUGACUCUGGUUACCAGGUUGGACACAUGGCCGAAUGAUACCUGUGUUAUCUGUGUUUGUGAGGGAGUGCAAACAGUAACAGGCAAGUGAUAAAGCAGCGGCGACUUUGAACAAGCAGCCAACUUCUCCCACGCUGCAGGCACGAAGAUCAGACCAACGUCCGACAGUAAAGAGUGAACACAGAGAAAGAGAGGAAAGGUUCAGCACUCUUCCCAGAGUUCACCCAAAGAGGAUCAGGGUGAAUGGCUCAAUCUCUGACUUCCCUGCAGUGUCCAGCCAGGCUUUAAGAAUCACACCAGUGUUUUUACAACUGGACUUCAACUUGCAGCACAUUCCCUUCACUGAGAGCUGCACAAGUGUUUUUCUUUGCAGAUCACAAUCUUUAAAUCCCUGAAUUAUCUCUUUCUGUGUUUGAUGUGGUCUGUUAUGAAGCUGUAAUAUGAUAAAGUUCUCAUCUUAUUCAUUUUCCACAGCAAAUAUUCUCAGUGAGUUUAAAGUUUGACUAUGUAAGGAAGCAGGAAGAGAUUCCUUGUGUCUGAAAACUUGACUUUCAGAUACACAGGACAAGAUUAAUAGAAGAGACAGGAGUCACGGCUUUGUCUACAGGGGGCGCUAAAAGAAAAACUAAUUGAAAAUUCCUCACAGGAGCUUUAAUGUCCCAACAAUAAAGACUGGCAAAGACUUGUUUUUAACGUUGUCAUUUCCUCAACAAUUCCUGUUCUGCAUUCCAGGAAUUGGCAGAGAUCAAAUUGACAUGGUGCCCACAGUUUAUAAAAGUACUAAAUAAGUGCCAGCUGAGUAUCAAAAUAUUCAUAUUAUAGUAUCACUAAAGCCUAUUCCCACUGAGGACAGGGCGGCACGUGUCCCCCAGGCUCCUGGAUCUUUCUCAGUGACUGAUGUGCCCCCUCACUUGUGUAGAUUCUAAUCUUUUUAGUUCUCUCUGGUGAAGAGGUGAAAAAACUCUCACUGGGACAGUUGAGGCGCAUUCUGCUCGAUAACAAACUUUAUGUUUCACAGCGUCAAUCUGGGACAACAUCAGACGAUGAGAUGCUCACCGGACUCACCUGUCCAACCAGCGUUUUGAAACUGCUCUGACAAAAAGAUCUGAGAAUUAGUUUCACACAUGCAGUAGAUUAAAACCUCAGAAAAGAGAGCUGUGUUUAUUGAGAUAUGUCUAGUGCAUGUGCAUGUGUAUCAGGGGUCUCCUUACUAGUGAAGCUCUGCACACACAGUGAAGGGUUGAAUGAGGAACAGGGAGGGACAAGGUCGCUUUCAGUGGAGGGAGGAACUGGACACAUAAAUCCUCCAGCUUCUCUUUGAUAAGGCUUCAAUUCAGCAGGGAUCAUGUACCAGGCUAAUCGCUGCCCGCCUCAGUCUCCCAGCCAACUCACAUAACACACAACAAUUACUCUUAAUACAAAUUCUUACUAAAUUUAACUCAGCCCUGCCAAAAAAUAUAAAAUCACACAGAAAUUGAACUAUUUAUUCUCUAAAUUCAGCACAAAGAUCAACAGCGAGGCCGUACCCCCAUAAAACUGACCAUAGAAAACUUUACACACAAUGAAAACACGCACUCGUUUCCACACAUUCCUCUCCCCCCUCCUAAAAUCAGGCCAUUUCUGUCUUGAGAUGUUCACACAAUUUAGUCAAGCUAAUGCGAGUGGACAGGCGCCCACUGCCGAGGCUGCCCCGCACAAUAUGCUUUAAUUACACAUUCACUAAAUGCAAACAUCUGAGCAUGUUAUCUGCUGCUCAGCUCUGCAGCCCCAGCGGGAAGGACAGGGGGUAGGGCUACACACUGCAAUCUAGAGCCAAACUUUUCUACAAACUCUCAUAUUUGAUGUUGAGUAUCUUCCAGCUGAGAGGUUAGAGAAUCAGCAGGUAAUCUGCAGCAGGUUCCUCUUUAGUUAAGUUCUUUUUAAAACCGUUUUGUGCACUUCAAAAUUGAAGUUUGAAACACAGGUUCGACUUUGUUUCAGAUUUCCAACAUUUGUAGUUUAUUCUGAAUAUACCGACUCUCUGAAGUAGUUGUUUAUCAAUAAACUUUGAAAUAAGUUCCUAAUAUUUCACUUUUUUGGGUCAUACUCCCAUUCUUUUUUGACAUCAUGCUCAAAUGUUAUUACUUACUAAUGUGUUAAAGAUUGUAGGUCAUGAAACCUUGAUGAUCUGACAAACUGGUAAUUUUAUUUACUUUGAGCGGUGUUUACUACAGUCACACAUGUCACUAGAAAUGGCUGCACGGACCCUCAGUCAAUUAGAUUAAUGUAACAUGAGCCUCUAAUUAAAAGACAUAUGUAAAUACCUCUGACCCAUGGUCUUCACCCCCUGUAACUGAUAUGAGCUUGAUUGUGAACCAAUCUUAGUCACACAAGUUCCCAAAGCUCUAAAAAACAUUCAUCACAAAAAAUCUGCUGGUCCAGAUAACCAUAACACUGAGUUAGACACCGCCUCAAGAGAUUAAUUUUGCCAACUGCUUGCUUCUUUAGCUAUACCAACUUCAGCAAUGACUGUACGAUAGCCAUACACAGCAGUCUGCGUCUCCAUGCGCACAAACCUCAACCAAAAAGCCACUCUAUAGCCACAAAUAACACUCAGAACAGCACCUAACUUCAUCAACAGUACAUAUAGCGUCCCAGCCAUAGUACUAGACACCAAACAUCUUUUUAGCUUUGCCUGAUUUCUUUAGCAAAGAGACUAAACACAACUCACCCACUCUCCUCCAGCAGCCACUUGUUUGUGCGGGAGCCCUGAUGAGUCGAUCACCGAAUCCAGAAGAGUUUUGCAGCUGAAGGAAGAACAUUUAUGAUCACUACUUCAUAGAAAUGCAAUCAGACGCAAAGGCAGAAGAACUACUAUGUCUGCAGUGCACAUACAAGAUACUAAAGAGCUCUGAUUGCAUUUCCAUGAAGUAAAAAUCAUACAUUUUCGUCCUAAAGAUGCUGAACUCUGCUGCACUUGGUGAUCGACUCAUCAGGGCCCAGGGCUAUGCUGUCUUUGGUUUCAAGGAUCCUAAACGGCUCAAAAACUACUUAGCUGGUCGGACUCAGAGUGUCCAAGCAGAGGGCCAGGAUUCGGACUUUCUGGAGAUCACUCAAGGUGUGCCCCAAGGUUCUAUUUUGGCUCCUAUUUUAUUUCCUAUUUUUUUAUAAAUGAUGUAGGUCAAGACAUUCAAGCUAAGUAGCAUUUAAAUGCAGAUGAUGCAAUCAUCUUCACCUCUGCAGCACAGAUGAUUGAAGAACUUCAGGCUGCACUUCAGCUAUUUUACAAAACACUUUGAAGGGUCUAAAAUUGCUUUUAAUUGCCCAUAAAACAAAGUUUAUUAUUUUAUCAAAGGUUUGCCUGCAAAGCUUUGACGAUGUAAGAAUUUCUGUCUGAUGGCACAUUGAUUGAAAGGGUGUCCUUCUACAAAUAUUUGGGAAUAUGGGUUCAUAAAAAGCUUUCAUUGAAUGUACAUAUUUCUAAUCUAAUUAAAAAACUCAAAGUGAAGAUUAGGGUAAGAGUUAGGCCCAGUCUCUCUUGAGAUUUGUAAUCUUAAUGGGACUCCCUGGUUGAAUAAAGAUUAUACAUAAUUUAAAAUUGGUACACAGUAAAAGACCAUAAGCAUGGUCACUUCAUCCACAGAACCGUCAAUUUCUCUGUACAAAUGUUUGUCCUUUCCCAUCAUAUCAGCAAUUAUUUUAAUGUUAUUGUUAAACUUGAUGGUACAUACACAGUCUUAGCUGUGUAUGAUAUCAGCUAAAGGAUGGUCAUAUGGUCAACAUAUAUUGUUGCCUAAUCUCAUCUUGGAUUUUUAUUGUCUCUGAGUCUGCCUAUUAAUUUUGAAAGCUGUGAAAUGUUUGAGAUUAUUAAGGUUUAAACAACUUCUGACCUGGAGUCCAGUUUGUUUCUCAAACUGAGCCUGACAUAGACAGGAGGAGACUGCUGUGGAUGUAUGGUGUAUUUUUCAUCAUUUUGAUUUUUUCUUAAUUUAUUUCUUAUGUUCUUAAUUUUUUUUCAUGAUACUAUAAAUUAUUUAACUUCAUUCUUUACUUUGAAAUUCCCCAAAAUCUUAAUUUAAUUCAUGAUAUUUGUCAAGUUUUUAAAUUAAUUAAAUGUUUAUUUUAUGUCUGGUAACUCAUUCUUUUAAGAUACAAGAGCAGAAAAAGUUACAGUUUUUGAAUACAAGACACUAACGUCACAUAUCUAAAAUUUUUCAACUUUUACAUUUCUCUCUCAAUAUUUUCACUCUUGACUUUUUCAUCUUUUCUUGACUUUUCUGCCUUUUUUAAAUGAGUAUUCAUGGAGUCACUUACAGGAUCUGUGACAUUUUCAAGAGAAAUAUCAUUAAGAUUUUGAUUUGACCCAUACUGAAUAUUUUAAAUAUCCCUCCUCCAUAAAAAGUGAUAAUUCAGUGCAGAACACAUGUUAAAGGGAGGCUAAAUGAAUGGAAAUUUGGUGCAGUAAAUAAAAGUUCCAGCAGAACAAAGAGCUGAAAUAAAGCGCCCUCUCUUCAUUCAUUAGCGUGCUGUUGGCUCUGAGGCGUCCAUACAUUCAGGAUGUUAAUGCAGGCUGCAGACAGAUGUGAAUCUAAAUAGCACCACACUGUGAGCCCUCACUAAAGCUCACCAUGACCCCCACGCUACACUGUGCAAGACAGAGGGCACCAGAGAUGGGGGAGAAACCUGGAGAGUGGGUCAGCUUCAUGUGUCUCAGUGCGGGUGGAGAUUACUGCAUUUAUCGUAGAUUUAC